GGAAAGCAGUAGACUAGAUACCAACUCUGUACCACCCAAGCAUGCCCCCACGCCAGGAGAAUCCCCAUUUGGGAAGAACCACUGGCUUUCUUGCCCCUUUGCACUGCUGUUGGAGAAGCACAAAGGACCUGGAGUGGAGCUCAGGAUUGAACUCUGAGGAGCCAAUCCUCCAUGGAAACGCUACCCGCCUACUCACAACUGCAGCUGCAUUAGACCAUCCGUGGUUGCAACAUGAAUCACAGGAAUACGGAUUAGAAUCUGCUUUGAGUUUAGACCAUCAUCCGUAAAUUUACAGUCAGCAAAGCUGAGGAGGGAGGCAAAGGUCAGCCUCCUUCAUUUCUCUCUCCUUCCUGAGAGCCAAACUGGCCCUCAUUCAAGUAAGAGCAUCUGUGGGGCUGAGCUAAAUUAUGCCAACUGCAAUGGUCCCCUAGUGGUGGCCCAGGACUGCUGCAGUGCAUCACAUGCUGGUUCCACCUUCUUCCCCACAUCACAAUAUAUCUGAACUGUGGAUGCUUUAAAUUCGCUCCGUGCUGCUAGAGUGGUGCAAAGGGGACUUAAUCAGGGCUGAAGUGCUAUGUCUUUGAACUGAAUUGUCUCUCUGAGAAUGUGGAAGCUUCUGGAAGCAGGCACCAGAUCUUCCCCUAUGUUCUGUAAAAUCUUGAACACAAUAAUGAUGAUAAAAAUGCAAUUAUGAUUCAUGA